rnacentral:rRNA from 1 species
GACGAACGCUGGCGGCGUGCUUAACACAUGCAAGUCGAACGGAAAGGCCCUGCUUUUGUGGGGUGCUCGAGUGGCGAACGGGUGAGUAACACGUGAGUAACCUGCCCUUGACUUUGGGAUAACUUCAGGAAACUGGGGCUAAUACCGGAUAGGAGCUCCUGCUGCAUGGUGGGGGUUGGAAAGUUUCGGCGGUUGGGGAUGGACUCGCGGCUUAUCAGCUUGUUGGUGGGGUAGUGGCUUACCAAGGCUUUGACGGGUAGCCGGCCUGAGAGGGUGACCGGCAACAUUGGGACUGAGAUACGGCCAAGACGCAUACGGGAGGCAGCAGUGGGGAAUAUUGCACAAUGGGCGGAAGCCUGAUGCAGCAACGCCGCGUGCGGGAUGACGGCCUUCGGGUGGUAAACCGCUUUCGCCUGUGACGAAGCGUGAGUGACGGUAAUGGGGAAAGAAGCACCGGCUAACUACGU